GGGGAUGUCUUGGUUUCGACAGGGCGUUGUUGGAUUCGGACUGCAGUGGCGUUAUUCACCUCAAGAAUAGAACCUAAAAAUAAACGACAAUCGUCAGUUUGCAUUUGCUGCUUAGUAGCCGCUUAUAGGCUCGCAGCCGUCACCCUAUAUUGCUCCUCUGGGUAUAGGUGUGGUGUCAAAGCCAGAGGAUCAGUUCCGGCGAUGCUGAUAAACCGGGAUGAAGUUCAUCAGCAAAACAGGUAUUAUUCACUGUCUGCCAGAUAGAUACCUGUUAACCUUGGCAGACUAAACUGUAGGCGUCUGAAUGUGGGACACGUUUUGGACAGGGGUUCGAUUCCCCUCAUCUCCACCA
rnacentral:tmRNA from 1 species